AUUGAACGCUGGCGGCAGGCUUAACACAUGCAAGUCGAGCGGGGAAGGUAGCUUGCUACCGGACCUAGCGGCGGACGGGUGAGUAAUGCUUAGGAAUCUGCCUAUUAGUGGGGGACAACAUCUCGAAAGGGAUGCUAAUACCGCAUACGUCCUACGGAAGAAAGCAGGGGAUCUUCGGACCUUGCGCUAAUAGAUGAGCCUAAGUCGGAUUAGCUAGUUGGUGGGGUAAAGGCCUACCAAGGCGACGAUCUGUAGCGGGUCUGAGAGGAUGAUCCGCCACACUGGGACUGAGACACGGCCCAGACUCCUACGGGAGGCAGCAGUGGGGAAUAUUGGACAAUGGGGGGAACCCUGAUCCAGCCAUGCCGCGUGUGUGAAGAAGGCCUUAUGGUUGUAAAGCACUUUAAGCGAGGAGGAGGCUACUCUAGUUAAUACCUAGGGAUAGUGGACGUUACUCGCAGAAUAAGCACCGGCUAACUCUGUGCCAGCCGCCGCGGUAA
rnacentral:rRNA from 1 species